CGCGUAGGCGGCCACCGCAAGUCGACUGUGAAAUCUCCGGGCUUAACCCGGAAAGGUCAGCCGAUACUGCGGGGCUAGAGUGCAGAAGGGGCAACUGGAAUUCUCGGUGUAGCGGUGAAAUGCGUAGAUAUCGAGAGGAACACCUGCGGCGAAGGCGGGUUGCUGGGCUGACACUGACGCUGAUGCGCGAAAGCUAGGGGAGCGAACG
rnacentral:rRNA from 1 species